rnacentral:pre_miRNA from 1 species
AAAAAGGCAAAUCCUAGAUUUCCGUGUCCAACUUUAACUGUCCGUCUUAUAUGAAAUUUUUUUAUAAUUCAUAUUUUCAUUGUUGUUAGAUGAUAAAAUAUGAUUAAUAUUUUAUGCGUGACUUGUCUUUUUAAUUUUUUUUAUAAUUUUUUUAAAUAAGACGGACGGUCAAACGUUGGGCACGGAAACCAGGGUUUGUCUUUUU